rnacentral:lncRNA from 1 species
AGCGGUGACCAAAUAUCCUAAAAGACAUUGCACUUCAUCAUUCCAUGCCUUCAGACAUUUAAGGGCCAUGGAUGGUGAUCUCCUCCAGAGACAAAAUAAAUGCUGGUGCACAACAGGUGGCCACAGAGUGCAUCUGCUCUGGGGGACCCAUCGCUCAUAUACCCUCCCAGAAGAGCAGGAAAGGGGAUUCGUAAAUACGUUCUUCUGAUGGGGAAUGCUCUAUGAGGCCGCCUUCACAUGUGUGGAAGAUGAUCAAAGUAUGACAUUUCUUCUACCCCAGAGGUUGGCAUUUCUGCAGGCACAAAUGAGCUUGGUUUUCAAGCACCGCUCUUUGAACACAAGGAAUUCCUUUAAUGAUCACGCCGGACUAUAUAGACUUUGGAAUCAGACUCUUUGAAUUCCAGCUCUGCCAUUUACCAACUUUGACACUUUGGGUAAGUCCUUUUAACCUCUUUAAGCCUCAGUUUCCUUUUCUGUAAACAGGAAUAAUGAUAACUAACAAUAAUAAUAAUAGUCCUUUCUCAUCGAUUAAAAAUAAACUGAGCUGCAACUGCU